CAAACACUAAAAAAGCAACAAAAAUUUAAAAAAGUGACAAAACACUAGUCAAAACUUUAAGUUAUAUCAUUUUAUACAACUACAUCUUCUCCACCACCACCACUUCAAUAUCCAAGCCUCAAAAGGCCAUUUCUGUCUCCUUUUUGCAAUGCCCGCUAACAACUUGCACUUCUAGUAGAGGGUAUGAAAAAUUGUUAGGUACUUCAUAAUAAAUAAAACGUACCCAAAAUAUAUGUAUGGAUUAUCUUCUUGGAGAUAGAGAUCCAAGAAUUAAGUAAUUAACAACAAUUUAUUGAUCCACAUCAUCUAAUUUUGCUGCGGUUGCAAUGUGUCCAGCCACAAAGUUUCAAGUCUUUAGGUGAAUUUCACACCACAAACCCAUUUUCUCUACCCAUUGCAGCCAAGCUUUCCACUUUCUCUCCUUCUCCUGCUUGCCCCCAAAGCAGAAUACAAAGAAGAUGAAGAAAAUAUUGGCUAUUAAAAAUUUCACAGUAGAUUAAUAUGCCACGUUUCAGGUAAUUGUAAAAAUUGGUGGCGUCAACAUAUAUGAUAUCAUUCAAUUCCAUAAAUGAAAUCCAUUUUCACGGCAGCACUCAUACAAUGCACCUGAAGUAGGUCUUUCCAUAUAGUUUGAGAAAACAUUUCUAGCGAGCCGCUUAAAUCAACCUCAGAUUCCUACCACCCUCAUCUUAGCACCUCAAUCGUCUACAGCAGUUUAGUAGUUUUCCACUGCAUCUGCCAUACACCUAGCCAAUAAAAACCCAAUCUACCGUUGGCUAUUCCAAUAGACAUCACCACACCAUCCCUCGUCGACCAAAACACCAAAAGGAGAGACAUUGACCGGAUCGGCAUAGCACCAUCACCGUCGCUGUAGCGACGUCAUCGCAACUGCAAUAGUAGUGUAUAGGGCAUUUGUGGUCUCUGUACUCGAUUGGGAGGUUUUGAGAUUUGGGAGUAUUGUU
rnacentral:lncRNA from 1 species